AUCUCUGUGGAGACUGUAGCACCUGCUAAGAAAUUCCGCUCACCUCACCGAGUUGCCCCGAGUUGCCUCGUCAGGAUGGCAGCACGAGGAGCUCCACAGACCCACUUCCCAGGGAAACAAGCAAAGCUGAGGGACUGAAGAUUGAGUUAAUGAUAGAUCAUGCCUCCAUGUAUGGAAUGAAGCCUCCAUAAAAUUCCCAAAGUAUGGGAUUCGAAGAUCUGGUUUCGUGAACACACUUAUAUGCCAAGAGGGUGACACACCCCAACUCCACGAGGACAGAAGCUCCUGCUCUCGGGACUUUUCCAGACCUCAUGUAUCCCUUCAUCUGACUACUUAUUCAUAUCCUUUAUCAUACCCUCUAUAAUAAACUGGCAAACAUAAAUCAGUAUUCUCCUGAGUUCUGUAAGCCACUCCAGCAAGUUAUCAACCCCUAGGAGGGGGUUAUAGGAACCCCAAUUUAUAGCCAUGUAGUCAUAAGUACAGAUGAUAAUCUGGAACUUUCCAUUGGCAUCUGAAGUGGGGCUGUCCUUUGGGAGGACCUAGCUAGCUCAGUCAGAAGAGCAUGCAACUCUUGAUCUCAGGAUUGUGAGUUAAAGCCCCAUACUGGGUGUAGAGGUUACUUAAAUCAACAAAUUAACUUGAAGUGGGGCAGUCUUGCAAGGGUCAACCCUUAGACUGUGGGAUCUGACACUAACUCCAGGUAGUGUCAGAACUGAAUUGAAUUGUAGGACAACUGGCUGGUGUUGCAGAACUGCAUGAUGGGUGGGAAACACACACAUCUAGUGUCAGGAGUGUUGUGAGUGUUACAGUGGUAUGAGAAUAAAAGAGAAACACAGGAGUGUUUUUCUUUGUUUUCAAGAUUUUACUUUUAAGUGAUCUCCACACCUAACGUGUGGCUCAAACUCCCAAUUCUGGGAUCAAGAGUCUCAUGCUCUACCAACUGAGCCAUCAAGGUGCCCCAGGAGUGUUUUUCUUAUACAAAGGGUUACUGUAUUUCACCAGGAGAAGCAAGCUACCAGCACUUCUCAUCUCCAAGUUGAAGGGGCUAAGUUACUGGUGAGUGUAGCCAAGAGGUCAAGGGUUCCUGUUCUCAACCUACAGAAUGGAGGUUCUAGCCCAGGGGAAGCAGGCCAAGAAUUCUGAGGUCCUGAUCACUCCUGCCCCAUCAUUUCUAGGGCAGAGAGAGGUUCCACACCAGAAAAGCAAGCUGAGAAGACCAGGGGCUACCAAACCCACUCAGCUCCCUAAAUAGUGGAUCACAGAUAUUGCCUGGGGGAAAGGCAGCCAGUUAGAAAAGAGAGCUCUGAAGCUCUCCCCAGAGGAAUUGAUUUUAUUUGAAAUUGAGCAUAGAGAAGUUCAAAUUUAAGGACACUCUUAAAAACAAUAGUUCCUCUUAAUUAAGAGCAACACACUAAACCAUAGGCCAGCUAAUUCACUAGAGAUAACCAGGAGAAAAGAGAGCUAAGAAUAGCCCACCUACUCAACAAGUGGCCUCUGAAACUACCCUUGCCUGAAUUUAAUUGGAUCAGACCAAUGAACAAUGUAUGCCCCAGGGCACGGUAGAAAAUAAUACAGCAAUUAGCCAGUAAUUAGUGGAACCUAACAUAUUGAUGUAAUACAAAAUGAGGCAGACAGCUUAACAGAGAGAUCAAGGAAAGACACACUCAAAAAGAGCCCUGCUGGGGCGCCUGGGUGGCUCAGUCGGUUGAGCUUGAGCGUCUGACUUCAGCUCAGGUCAUGAUCUCAAGGUCUGUGAGUUCGAGCCCUGCAUCGGGCUCUGUGCUGACGGCUCAGAGCCUGGAGCCUGCUUCUGAUUCUGUGUCUCCCUCUCUCUCUCUGCCCCUCCCCCGCUCAUGCUCUGUCUCUCUCUGUCAAAAAUAAAUAAACAUUAAAAAAAAAAAAAAA